rnacentral:rRNA from 1 species
AUUGAACGCUGGCGGCAUGCCUUACACAUGCAAGUCGAACGGUAACGCGGGGCAACCUGGCGACGAGUGGCGAACGGGUGAGUAACACAUCGGAACGUGCCCAGUAGUGGGGGAUAGCCCGGCGAAAGCCGGAUUAAUACCGCAUACGACCUAAGGGUGAAAGCAGGGGAUCGCAAGACCUUGCGCUAUUGGAGCGGCCGAUGUCAGAUUAGGUAGUUGGUGGGGUAAAAAGCCUACCAAGCCGACGAUCUGUAGCUGGUCUGAGAGGACGACCAGCCACACUGGGACUGAGACACGGCCCAGACUCCUACGGGAGGCAGCAGUGGGGAAUUUUGGACAAUGGGCGCAAGCCUGAUCCAGCCAUGCCGCGUGAGUGAAGAAGGCCUUCGGGUUGUAAAGACGUCUUUCGGUCGGGGGAAGGAAAAGUUAGGCUUGGGUUAAGUACCCUGAGUAG